rnacentral:rRNA from 1 species
UACAGAGGUCCCGAGCGUUGUUCGGAUUCACUGGGCGUAAAGGGUGCGUAGGUGGCUGGGAAAGUUUGAUGUGAAAGCUCAGGGCUUAACCCUGAAAUGGCAUUGAAUACUGCCUGGCUGGAGGUUUGGAGGGGGGACUGGAAUUCUUGGUGUAGCAGUGAAAUGCGUAGAUAUCAAGAGGAAUACCGAUGGCGAAGGCAGGUCUCUGGGCUGACACUGACGCUCAUGCACGAAAGCGUGGGGAGCAAACAGG